CAAUUAAACACUUUGGCUGAUACUGGUGGUCUUUUUUCACUGAGCAGUCUGGUGCUUGAGCAUCUCUGGUAGCCAAACAGUCUAAGCUCCUUUUAGACAACAGAAUAU
rnacentral:miRNA from 1 species